GGCACCAUAGCUUAACUGGAUAGAGCACCUGACUACGGAUCAGGAGGUUCGGGGUUCGAAUCCCUGUGGUGUCA
rnacentral:tRNA from 1 species